rnacentral:tRNA from 1 species
GGGCCUGUAGUAUAGCCUGGGUAGCAAGCAAAUAGUACGGCCGGCUUCGGACCGGCAGACCGGGGUUCAAAUCCUCGCAGGCUCG